rnacentral:lncRNA from 1 species
ACUCAUUGGCUGGAUGGAGGAGUCCUUGUUAACAGCCAAUCAGCGAAAGAAGUUUGCAAUAAUUAUUAGAAGGAUUUAUUUCCUUGUGCGCCAAUCCUUUGUGGAGCUGCCUGAGUUCAACUCAAGCUAUACGAGCGAGUUAAUUGUUCCUUUGAGCAUACUAGCCAUGAUGGCUUAUAGACCCAUCAGUGUGUACAUAAUAUCUCUUCUCCUGACAUGGUGUGCGGCCGGGAAGUUCAGAGUACGGCUGGUUGGAGAAACAGAGUGGUCUGGUGGCCUGUUAGUUUCUAGGAAUGACGCAUGGCGCGCAGUGUGUAAAGACGGCUUUGGAAAUGAAGAAGCACAAAUAGUCUGCAGGAUGCUUGGCUUUAGCGAAUCGAGGCCGUAGUUGUGGAAUCAGAGAUGCUUUCGGAAAGUUCAGGUGCCAGCUUGCUGGACUGCAAUGGUACUGAAAGUAGUCUGGAAGAGUGUUUCUAUCAAGAGAAGCUCUCUUGCGGUGAAACACCACAAGUCGGAAUUAUCUGCAACAUUCUUAAGAAAGCUAGAGAGUUGAAAGCACGUCUUGUAAAAGGGAUUUUGGGUUUGGACUUCUGGAAGUUUUGUAUGACGGGGAGUGGAGUACAGUUUGCAGUCGUGGCUUUGAUCAGAAAGAAGCGCAGGUUGUUUGCAAGAUGCUUAAGCUACCCAGCAAUUACGUCCUCGCUUUUUCUUUGCCCCACUUCUUAAGGGGAAGAAAUGAAUCUAAGAUUUUAUUUAGCGACCUGGACUGCGAUGGUACAGAGACCAGCUUAGCUCAGUGUAAACACAGUGGCUUCUACAACCACACCUGCACUCACGACGAUGAUGUCAGCGUAAACUGCUUAUUCGACAAAGAUGCGACAUUUCGUCUGGGUACACGUUCCACCAGACAGGACAUGGGGCGUUUGGAGAUCACUGUGGGCCGGUAAAGAAACACGGGAAGGAGAUAAUUGUGUGGAGCGGUCUCUGUGGCGAUGUGUACUCUCCCAUUAUUACUGCCAGAUUAAUCUGCCAGAUGCUUGGCUAUCCCUCAAGUGGCGCCUUACUUCCCGGUUCGUCGUUUGGCCCAACACGUGGAUUUUGGCUGACUAACAUAAACUGUACCGGCGUAAACUCUAGUUUUUUAUCUUGUGUACAACUUUUAACCGGCAUCAGUUCAUCAUGUCCCAAAAACGAACUUGGUUUA